rnacentral:rRNA from 1 species
UACGUAGGUGGCAAGCGUUGUCCGGAUUUACUGGGCGUAAAGAGCGCGCAGGCGGUCGUUCAAGUCGCGUGUGAAAGCCCCCGGCUCAACUGGGGAGGGUCACGCGAUACUGAUCGACUCGAAGGCAGGAGAGGGUAGUGGAAUUCCCGGUGUAGUGGUGGAAUGCGUAGAUAUCGGGAGGAACACCAGUGGCGCAGGCGGCGUCCUGGACCGGCACUGACGCUGAGGAGCGAAAGCGUGGGGAGCGAUCCGG